rnacentral:misc_RNA from 1 species
CAGAACCAAGAGAUCCGUUGUUAAAAGUUGUAAUUAUUAAGUUUUUCAGACGCUGACUGCAACUGCAAAUGGUUUAAUGUGGUCCUAACGGCAGGCGGACCUGCCGAGGAAACGUGUAGUACGCAAAAGACAUGGGUAAGAGAUGGCAGACAAAAGCCUGCAACUCUCGGUAAUGAUCCUU